rnacentral:rRNA from 1 species
UGGGGAAUAUUGCACAAUGGGCGAAAGCCUGAUGCAGCGACGCCGCGUGCGGGAUGAAGGCCUUCGGGUUGUAAACCGCUUUUGAUUGGGAGCAAGCGAGAGUGAGUGUACCUUUCGAAUAAGCACCGGCUAACUACGUGCCAGCAGCCGCGGUAAUACGUAGGGUGCAAGCGUUAUCCGGAAUUAUUGGGCGUAAAGAGCUCGUAGGCGGUUUGUCGCGUCUGGUGUGAAAGUCCAUCGCUUAACGGUGGAUCUGCGCCGGGUACGGGCAGGCUAGAGUGCGACAGGGGAGACUGGAAUUCCCCGGUGUAACGGUGGAAUGUGUAGAUAUCGG